rnacentral:rRNA from 1 species
GACGAACCGUGCGAACGUUGUUCGGAAUCACUGGGCUUAAAGGGCGCGUAGGCGGGCUGUCAAGUCUGGGGUGAAAUGCCGCGGCUCAACCGUGGAACUGCCUUAGAUACUGACGGCCUCGAGGAAGGUAGGGGCAUGCGGAACUGUAGGUGGAGCGGUGAAAUGCGUUGAUAUCUACAGGAACUCCGGUGGCGAAAGCGGCGUGCUGGACCUUAUCUGACGCUGAGGCGCGAAAGCUAGGGGAGCAAACGGG